GCGGGAGUAGCUCAGUGGUAGAGCACCACCUUGCCAAGGUGGCUGUCGCGGGUUCGAGUCCCGUCUCCCGCUCCA
rnacentral:tRNA from 1 species